UCUGCAGGACAUGGCUCCACCCUUUCAGGCCAACUUCACCAUCAGUCCUGUGACCUCUGACCACGAGGGGACCUACAGGUGCUACGGUUCAGACAGCACCUCCCCCUACCUGUUGUCACUUCCCAGUGACCCCCUGGAGCUCCUGGUCUCAGAAGGUGCCAGGGGUGCAGAAGGAAGGUCUUGUGGGAGCCACAGGGCUGAUGCAGCAGAAGAGUUUGAGCGAAGUGGGGAAUCCAGGGUCAGCCCAACCCCCCGCCCACAGGGCUCAUCUCAACAACUGGUGAGUCACUGAAGCCCCUUUGCUCUGAGGAAGCACAGACCACCCAGGCCAGUUCUAAGAGUCUCUCAGAGGAUGUGAUGCCCCCUCAGAUACUCAAGAACCGGCUUGUCUGCCAGGGGAGCUGGGAGUUGGGCA